rnacentral:misc_RNA from 1 species
GAAUAUCAACUGAUUCGAGUUUACUUCUGAUUAACAGUUUGGAAUUUCUCAAGCAAUCCCAAUUUUUCAGUUGUUCAGGGUAAAACUUACCCUACACUAGAGUACGGCUGUAUGGGCACACCCAAGCACCAGGCUAACGACAUAAUUACCAAUAAAACGACAUGCUCGUUUUGGCCUGGUUAUAUGUGUCGUCCAGAACCGUCCAUAGUGCUUUCUAAAAGCGUGGAGUGCUGGAGUUCAU